UACGAAGGUCCCAAGCGUUGUUCGGAAUCACUGGGCGUAAAGCGUGUGUAGGCUGCGCGGAAAGUCAAAUGUGAAAGCCCGGGGCUUAACCUCGGAACUGCAUUCGAUACUCCCGUGCUAGAGUCAUGGAGAGGUCAGUGGAAUUCUCGGUGUAGCAGUGAAAUGCGUAGAUAUCGAGAGGAACAUCAAUGGCGAAGGCAACUGACUGGACAUGUACUGACGCUCAGACACGAAGGCUAGGGGAGCGAAAGGG
rnacentral:rRNA from 1 species